GAUGAACGCUGGCGGCGUGCCUAAUACAUGCAAGUCGAGCGAACAGACGAGGAGCUUGCUCCUUUGACGUUAGCGGCGGACGGGUGAGUAACACGUGGAUAACCUACCUAUAAGACUGGGAUAACUUCGGGAAACCGGAGCUAAUACCGGAUAACAUGUUGAACCGCACGGUUCAACAGUGAAAGACGGUUUUGCUGUCACUUAUAGAUGGAUCCGCGCCGCAUUAGCUAGUUGGUAAGGUAACGGCUUACCAAGGCAACGAUGCGUAGCCGACCUGAGAGGGUGAUCGGCCACACUGGAACUGAGACACGGUCCAGACUCCUACGGGAGGCAGCAGUAGGGAAUCUUCCGCAAUGGGCGAAAGCCUGACGGAGCAACGCCGCGUGAGUGAAGAAGGUCUUCGGAUCGUAAAACUCUGUUAUUAGGGAAGAACAAAUGUGUAAGUAACUAUGCACGUCUUGACGGUACCUAAUCAGAAAGCCACGGCUAACUACGUG
rnacentral:rRNA from 1 species